UAGGGAAUCUUCGGCAAUGGACGAAAGUCUGACCGAGCAACGCCGCGUGAGUGAAGAAGGUUUUCGGAUCGUAAAACUCUGUUGUUAGAGAAGAACAAGGACGUUAGUAACUGAACGUCCCCUGACGGUAUCUAACCAGAAAGCCACGGCUAACUACGUGCCAGCAGCCGCGGUAAUACGUAGGUGGCAAGCGUUGUCCGGAUUUAUUGGGCGUAAAGCGAGCGCAGGCGGUUUCUUAAGUCUGAUGUGAAAGCCCCCGGCUCAACCGGGGAGGGUCAUUGGAAACUGGGAGACUUGAGUGCAGAAGAGGAGAGUGGAAUUCCAUGUGUAGCGGUGAAAUGCGUGGAUAUAUGGAGGAACACCAGUGGCGACGGCGGCUCUCUGGUCUGUAACUGACGCUGAGGCUCGAAAGCGUGGGGAGCAAACAGG
rnacentral:rRNA from 1 species